GGUUAAGCGACUAAGCGUACACGGUGGAUGCCCUGGCAGUCAGAGGCGAUGAAGGACGUGCUAAUCUGCGAAAAGCGCCGGCGAGGUGAUAUGAACCCUUGACCCGGCGAUGUCCGAAUGGGGAAACCCAGUGUGUUUCGACACACUAUCGUUAACUGAAUACAUAGGUUAACGAGGCGAACCGGGGGAACUGAAACAUCUAAGUACCCCGAGGAAAAGAAAUCAACCGAGAUUCCCCCAGUAGCGGCGAGCGAACGGGGAGCAGCCCGGAGUCUGAAUCAGCUUGUGUGUUAGUGGAACGGUCUGGAAAGUCCGACGGUACAGGGUGAUAGUCCCGUACACGAAAAUGCACAGGUUGUGAACUCGAAGAGUAGGGCGGGACACGUGGUAUCCUGUCUGAAUAUGGGGGGACCAUCCUCCAAGGCUAAAUACUCCUGACUGACCGAUAGUGAACCAGUACCGUGAGGGAAAGGCGAAAAGAACCCCGGCGAGGGGAGUGAAAAAGAACCUGAAACCGUGUACGUACAAGCAGUGGGAGCCUCUUUAUGGGGUGACUGCGUACCUUUUGUAUAAUGGGUCAGCGACUUAUAUUCUGUAGCAAGGUUAACCGUAUAGGGGAGCCGAAGGGAAACCGAGUCUUAACUGGGCGUUAAGUUGCAGGGUAUAGACCCGAAACCCGGUGAUCUAGCCAUGGGCAGGUUGAAGGUUGGGUAACACUAACUGGAGGACCGAACCGACUAAUGUUGAAAAAUUAGCGGAUGACCUGUGGCUGGGGGUGAAAGGCCAAUCAAACCGGGAGAUAGCUGGUUCUCCCCGAAAGCUAUUUAGGUAGCGCCUCGUGAACUCAUCUUCGGGGGUAGAGCACUGUUUCGGCUAGGGGGCCAUCCCGGCUUACCAACCCGAUGCAAACUACGAAUACCGAAGAAUGUUAUCACGGGAGACACACGGCGGGUGCUAACGUCCGUCGUGAAGAGGGAAACAACCCAGACCGCCAGCUAAGGUCCCAAAGUCAUGGUUAAGUGGGAAACGAUGUGGGAAGGCACAGACAGCCAGGAUGUUGGCUUAGAAGCAGCCAUCAUUUAAAGAAAGCGUAAUAGCUCACUGGUCGAGUCGGCCUGCGCGGAAGAUGUAACGGGGCUAAACCAUGCACCGAAGCUGCGGCAGCGACACUAUGUGUUGUUGGGUAGGGGAGCGUUCUGUAAGCCGUUGAAGGUGUGCUGUGAGGCAUGCUGGAGGUAUCAGAAGUGCGAAUGCUGACAUAAGUAACGAUAAAGCGGGUGAAAAGCCCGCUCGCCGGAAGACCAAGGGUUCCUGUCCAACGUUAAUCGGGGCAGGGUGAGUCGACCCCUAAGGCGAGGCCGAAAGGCGUAGUCGAUGGGAAACAGGUUAAUAUUCCUGUACUUGGUGUUACUGCGAAGGGGGGACGGAGAAGGCUAUGUCAGCCGGGCGACGGUUGUCCCGGUUUAAGCAUGUAGGCGGAGGUUCCAGGUAAAUCCGGUACCUUUUAACGCUGAGGUGUGAUGACGAGGCACUACGGUGCUGAAGUGAUAAAUGCCCUGCUUCCAGGAAAAGCCUCUAAGCAUCAGGUAACACGAAAUCGUACCCCAAACCGACACAGGUGGUCAGGUAGAGAAUACCAAGGCGCUUGAGAGAACUCGGGUGAAGGAACUAGGCAAAAUGGUGCCGUAACUUCGGGAGAAGGCACGCUGAUA
rnacentral:rRNA from 1 species